UCGCUCCAUUGUGCUGCUGUCGUCUAGGAUGAGGAUCCGCUGACAAAUUAAGAAAUGAUGCCCGGGCAUUAGACUCUCCAGAUGUAGCUGGAAAAAGACACGUCAUCUGGACCAGAUGAUGAAGAAGAGGAAAGACUACAGAGAAGACGUCUCCUCCCAGACUACAACUACCAGAAGUCAGUGCAGCUCCGUGUUAUGGCUGCCAGCCAAUUACUUUCACUAUCUGUGUGAAUACUGUGUUGCUGUAAACAGUCAGCAGCACACACUACAUAUCUUUUCUUUCCAGUUUUCCUUUCUCAUGCUGGCAGCAGUCAGGUAUUAGAUCUACAGCAGGAAAAGAGCAGCAUUAUGUGCUGAGUUGUGACUAAGAAUCUUCACUGGAGACGCUGGCAAGAUCCUCAAAUGGAGAGGGGAGAUGGGCCUGUGAAGCCUGCAAUCACGUGGGGUUGCUGCACUUGAUAGGGAUACAAAAAUUGUACACAAAAAAUUGACAUAUGUGAAAUAUGUUUAUCUACAGUAUGUCUUUCAAGUUUCUAUAUUGUUG